rnacentral:sRNA from 1 species
ACCGCCAUGGACGGCGGUGGUUCUAAACAGAAACGAUGUUUUAAAGCAAAACUAUUUGCAAAGCUUUAAAACUCGUAGGUUUCAUUUUGACAAGGACGUCAAAAUGAAACCGUUG